rnacentral:rRNA from 1 species
GACAGAGGUGCCGAGCGUUAGGCGGAAUCACUGGGCUUAAAGCGUGUGUAGGCGGACUUCUAAGUACCUUGUGAAAUCCCUCGGCUUAACCGGGGAACUGCGUCUGAUACUGGAUGGCUUGAGUUCGGGAGAGGGAUGCGGAAUUCCAGGUGUAGCGGUGAAAUGCGUAGAUAUCUGGAGGAACACCGGUGGCGAAGGCGGCAUCCUGGACCGACACUGACGCUGAGGAGCGAAAGCCAGGGGAGCAAACGGG